rnacentral:rRNA from 1 species
AUUGAACGCUGGCGGCAGGCCUAACACAUGCAAGUCGAACGGUAACAGGAAGCAGCUUGCUGCUUCGCUGACGAGUGGCGGACGGGGGAGAAAUGUCUGGGAAACUGCCUGAUGGAGGGGGAUAACUACUGGAAACGGUAGCUAAUACCGCAUAACGUCGCAAGACAAAGCAGGGGGACCUUCGGGCCUCUUGCCAUCGGAUGUGCCCAGAUGGGAUUAGCUAGUAGGUGGGGUAACGGCUCACCUAGGCGACGAUCCCUAGCUGGUCUGAGAGGAUGACCAGCCACACUGGAACUGAGACACGGUCCAGACUCCUACGGGAGGCAGCAGUGGGGAAUAUUGCACAAUGGGCGCAAGCCUGAUGCAGCCAUGCCGCGUGUAUGAAGAAGGCCUUCGGGUUGUAAAGUACUUUCAGCGGGGAGGAAGGCGACAGGGUUAAUAACCCUGUCGAUUGACGUUACCCGCAGAAGAAGCACCGGCUAACUCCGUGCCAGCCGCCGCGGUAA